GACAGAGGGGGCAAGCGUUGCUCGGAAUCACUGGGCGUAAAGGGCGCGUAGGCGGUCAGCACAAGUCAGUUGUGAAAUCUCCGGGCUUAACUCGGAAAGGUCAACUGAUACUGUGCGACUAGAGUGCGGAAGGGGCAACUGGAAUUCUCGGUGUAGCGGUGAAAUGCGUAGAUAUCGAGAGGACCACCUGCGGCGAAGGCGGGUUGCUGGGCCGACACUGACGCUGAUGCGCGAAAGCCAGGGGAGCGAACGGG
rnacentral:rRNA from 1 species